UCAUUAAAACUGAGAGAGAGAGAGAGAGAGAGAGAACACCAAAGCCUCACCGUGGAAACACAUGAACACGAAUGAGCAGGCUGUAGCGGAAGCAUGCCAUCUACUGCCAUCUGCUUCUGGUGAGGCCUCAGGGAGCUGCCAAUCAUGGCGGAAGGUGAAGGGGAGCCAGUGCAUCACACGGCAAGAGCAGGAGCAAGAGAGGUGCCAGGCUCCUUCAAACAACCAGCUCUCCAGUGAACUAACAGAGCAAGAUCUCACUCAUCUCCAAGGGUAGGGCCAAGCCAUUCGUGAGGGACGCACCCCCAUGACCCAAACACUUCCCACCAGGCCCCACUAACAACCCUGGGCAUCACAGCUCAACAUGAGAUUUGGAGGAGACUCAUCCAAACCAUAUCAAGUACCCUCCUCUCCCAGCUGCCUGCAGCCUCCCUCCUUUACAGUUUUGGCAGGGCCAAGCAGUGUCAGAAAAGCUCCUGGGACUCUGGAAGGGGAGCAGAGGGAAGGCUGGGUGGCGGGGUGCUGGAUGCUCCAGGAGGUAGUAGAACUGGCUUCAGGUCG
rnacentral:lncRNA from 10 species